GGGGAAUAUUGCGCAAUGGGGGCAACCCUGACGCAGCAAUACCGCGUGAGUGAAGAAGGUUUUCGGAUCGUAAAGCUCUGUUAUUGGGGAAGAAAACAUGACGGUACCCAAUGAGGAAGUCCCGGCUAACUACGUGCCAGCAGCCGCGGUAAUACGUAGGGGACAAGCGUUGUCCGGAAUGACUGGGCGUAAAGGGCGCGUAGGCGGUCUGAUAAGUCAGAUGUGAAAGGUACCGGCUCAACCGGUGACGUGCAUUUGAAACUGUCAGACUUGAGUAUUGGAGAGGCAAGUGGAAUUCCUAGUGUAGCGGUGAAAUGCGUAGAUAUUAGGAGGAACACCAGUGGCGAAGGCGGCUUGCUGGACAAAUACUGACGCUGAGGUGCGAAAGCGUGGGGAGCGAACA
rnacentral:rRNA from 1 species